GCUUAACAAACAAUAGAAUAGCUGUACUCUAAAAGCCUAAAAACCUAUUAAAUUUAUGUUAACCUCAGGAAAUGCCUCAUAAAAUAACAAACACAUUUUGAGGACUUCAUCUGGAAUCAUGUCACCUGGAAUUGCUAGCAGAUAUUCAAUAUUAAUGUGCAUCUUUUUGAUGACUUCACUGGCACCUUCUCUGCAGACACAGUACUCAGUUAGUCUUAAACUAGUGUCAACUUCUUCAUCAACAUCAAGAUUUUGCAGAGAACUUUCAGUAUAUCUUGGAGUGUUUCCAAUAUAUUGCCAGUUCUUCUCACAAAAGCUUUGUGUUAAAUGAUCUUUCUAUUUCAUCAAUCAAACUAACUGUCCAAAUUCUUAACUGCCCCAAAGUUUUUAGUACUACUUGGAUUACAGCUGGCAAAGAUCUUUGGUAACUCCUGCCUUCAAUUAUGUGGAAGAGGAAUCGACUGCAAGUGAUUAACCAAUAGGACUAGCUUCAGCCUGUUGGUAUUUGUCUUGAUUAAUAGGCGAUGAAACCAUCAUUAAAAGAGGCAUUUGGAAAUAAAUUGUGGUGGCACCAAAGGAGUCAUUUGGAAAUAUACUGUACAGACUAGCUCCAAUAUUAAUUAAACAAUGUCUUUAAACCAAGGCUCUGUUAAAAAAAAUGCAAUAGUUAAGUGUAAGGUAACUAUAAUAUUUGUCUAAAGUAAAAUGAUACUUCAGAGUAAUUGGAUGAUUUAUGUUUAAUUACACACUUUUCCACAAUCUAUAUAUUCAUUUAUAUGUAUUGCUUUACUUUUUCAUUUGAUAAUUUAUUUCAUAAUUGACAUUUUAUUUAUUCCAAUUUGGCACAAAGCACAAAUGCUUUUCCAGAUCUUCAAAUUAUAAAGCAUAUAGUCUGCUGCAUCUGCAAUAUUGAAAUUCCCUGACGUCUGAGCAGUUACGUCAAUCGGUGUGCAUUCAUUUGUCUUAGUUACUACUUUUGGCAUGACAAAUUAAAAAAAAAAAUAGUGUCUAACACAAAAAUGUGUGUCACACUGAUCUUUGAACUCUAACUUGUUUAGAGAGCUUCAGAAGAAAGGUUAAGAAUGAAGAAAAUGGUGGUUUAGGAAAAUAAGAGCAAAAAGCCCAUAAAAGGAAGAUUUUAUUUUGGGGAAAAAAAAACCAGUUAACUGCAGCAUCAGACAGCAUUUCAGCUUACAGGCAGAAAAUAAUGGAUUAUGUGUUUACUACAUGGAACAGAUUGGCUCCAGCCUUAAAAAAGCAUCAAAAACAAAAAAGCACCAAAAACAAGGUAAAAAAAAAUUAUGAAAAUAAAGAAAAAAAACCUCCAGACCUCCUUUUGUCCUAAACACGCAUCAGUGUUGGAUAGUGUUUGCAGUUAGCGGCCCACAUGAGAACAGAUUUAGUAGGCUCAAAGUAAUUACUAUGCUAUCACAUUCCACAUCCCAAAUACAUACCGGCAGCACAUUUAGUUAACGUGGAAAAUGUGUGUGAUUAAAACACAAAACACAAAGCCAGGCUACUCCCAGAUUUACCUCCCAAUCCUAGAUGGGUGAUUUCUCUGUGCCAUCUGUGAGCAUAGCAGCUAUAGAUAUACACCUAUUUUGCUUAAUGUUUUAUAUGUCAGAGGAAAUAAUAUGAUUUAAGUAAAGUUUUCUUAUAUUUAAGGAUGUAUUAUUCUUAUUGUUGUAAAAAUCAGAAUGCCACUCCAUUUUCUUGCAUGGGGCAAGGUCAUACUUAUUGUACUUUCUAAGACAUCCAAAGCUUAAUCUCCUUCAUUAGCCUGCAAUUCUAAAGCAAAGCUUCCCACCGAUAACAAACUCAUGCACAGAUGACGAAAUGUCAUAAGGAAUAUGGCUGCUAAGCAGAAGCAAACACAUGUGACAAUUGUAUUUGUUCUGAUUCAGUA